UAUAUCAGAAAGGGGAUAAAAAUGUAGCCUAAUGGUAGAGAAUUCUCAGUUUCUUAAUACCUGCAAAUGUACACCGAUUAGUACUCUUCAUGCUUUGGUGACACAUCAAGUGAAUGAAAGCUCAGUAUAAAUAGGGGGAAGCUGAUUUGAAUAAUAAUGAGCUGGACGACCCAGAGAAAGAAAAUGAUCAGCAGUAAGAGCAUAAAUUCCUGAGAGAUGCAAGCUUAUCUCCCAAAUCAACAACAAAGGGAACCUAAUCAAAGAAUAAAGCAGAUUCGAAGCCUACUAGGGUUAAUCCUAAGAGGGCAGGGAAAAACACUGUCAAAUGAAUUUGAAAGUACUAUUUUGGAAUAUGAGGUCUGUUAGAACUCAAAAUUCAUUCCAUAGGAUUCAGAUAUUGUACAUAUAUUAUAAUUUUUCAACUAUUGCAUUGAGAGAGCCAUUUUAUAAAGCAUGGAAAAUUCACUAAUACAAGAGAAGGCUUGGCAUGCAUUAUUCCAACUAUAAUAAGAAUGGGAAAAUAUGGGUAUUUCUUUAGGAAGACAUACAAGUGGGAGUUCUGUCUAACACUGAGCAACAAUUAACUUUGCAACUAACUUUUCAAGGAAAUUGGGCAAUCAAUAGUUACAACUGUAUAUGCCAAAUGUGAUGCCAAUGAGAUGCUUAGUUUAUGGGAGGACAUCUACAAGAUAUCUCAAAUUACUUAUCUUCCUUGGAUAGUUGGUGUUGACUUUAAUGUUAUCUUGUCAGAUGGGGAAAAGAUAAGUGGGCUGCCUGUGUAUCCCGGAGAGUAUGGACUUUGCUUUUUGUGUAAAUUCUUGUAAGUCGUUGGAUAUAAAUUUCAAAGGUAGUCUUUUCACUUGGUGGAAUUGUAGAGUAGAUAGUGAAUGCAUUUUUAAAAGGUUGGACAACAUAUUGUGUAAUCAAGCUUUUUUGGUUUAGUUUGACAUGUGGAGAUGGAACAUUUGGCUAGGACAUGGUCAGAUCAUGCCCCUUUGUUAUUGACUUGUGAAAGACAAUCUAAUCUAUUAGAAGUCCUUUAAAGUUUCUAAUUUUUUGGGUAAAGCGGGCUAAUUUUAAUGAUGUGGUCAGAAACAAUUGGGUGUCACAGGCUAUUGAAGAUGUUUUUAUUAACAUCAAGCAUAAGAUGAAAAACACCAAUGAUGAACUUGCUACUUAGAGUAGGGAGAGAUUUGGGGACAUUUUCAAGCAAUUGAUAAUAAGAGGAGAUUGUCAGGCUGAAAGAAGAGCUAUUUGAAGAUAAUCCAACUGCUGGUAGCAGAAUUAUUCUUCAAAAAGCACAAGCAGAGCUGAAAUAAUAUUUGCACUUUGAGGAGGAAUACCGGAGGCAAGAAGAUAGUGUACAAUGGUUCUGAAGGUGACAGGAACAUAAGGGUAAAUGGGAGAAGGAAGAGAUUGUCCAUUAGAAGAGUGUGAAACAAAUCCAUUCCAUCACUUUGUUGCAGACAGAAGAUCUUCUCAUUGUUUUGCGACUCCUUUCUACCAUUCAUACCAUACUACUCCAUCGGAACUCCAUCUCAUAAUGUUAAAAGAUUUGAAACCUGCGUUGAAGUAUAUUCUGUUUUCUACCAUGUCUAUAGGCAAGAAUUCGGUCAGAAGAAAAGGAGAGAGGUGGUAUAGCUACCACAGAAGGUGGCGGCUGAGGAGGUAUAUGGAAAAAGGGGAUGUUGGCUGAGUAGGGGCUGAGGAGGGUAGUUUCCGAUGAGGCUACAGGGAGGUGGGUGUUUCCCCUUCCUAGAAAGUAGGAGAGAGAAUAUGUUAUGAUCCCAAAAAUAUGGAAUAAUUAUGUGUAGUUGGUGGGGCUCAAAGUGAAAGACAGGAGUUUUAUUUGAAUUUGGCGACUUGUGAAUGGACGGCAAGUCGCUAGCGUAGGGAAUUACUUGGUGGGGGUAUUAUUCUUGUUAUGAUAUCUUGUUUCAUGCUUUAUUACGAAUCUGUUUACUAUUACUUGUGGGUGUCGUAUUUAUGUUAUGCCAUCUUGUUCCAUGCUUUACUAUGAAUUUGUUUAGUAUUUCGUGUCUCGAGCCGGGGGUCUAUCGGAAGCAGCCUUUUUACUUCUUUAGAGGUAGAGGUACGGACUGCGUACAUCUUACCCUCCCCAGACCUCACUAUGUGGAAAUAAACUGGGUUUGUUGUUGUUGUUGUUGUUGUGAAUGGACGGCAAGGAUUGAAAAUAAUAAAAAAGACGGUGAUCGUGAUGAAGCCACGUGGCAGUUACAAAUACCCAUCAGAGGAGAGAGACGAGUAACAGAAAAUUGGUUCUCAUGGAUUAAAUGGCUUCCCUUCCUAUACAUUUUUAGUUACAGUUUUCAUUUUCAUUGUAUUUGAGACCCAUUUGUCUAUUUUUCGAUUAAUGAGAAAACUCGAAAAUUCACAAAA